AGGUGACUCGAGUGAGAAGGCGGGUGAUAAAGCCGGGAGUAAUACACGACUUAAAGGGAAGCUCUAAAGUUUCAAAUUAAUGCAUUGGGCGAAGAUCAAGUCCUGCGAAGAACCGAACACAAACCAAGAUAUAUGCUUCCGUUUUGUUAAACUUAAGUAACUUAUGACGAAUUUGGUCUUUUGUUUUAAGACUCUAAUGUAUUAUAAUCAAAGUUUUAAAUAUUUCUAUUUGGGAAA